GUUUAUCCCCAAACAAGAAAAACUCAUCUAUACUAUAAAAACAAUGUUCAAGUAGAAAUGUUUUCAAAGUCUUUUUAAAUUUAUAUAGUGCUGGUAUAUCUUUUAUAUAUUGUGGCAAGUGGUUUAAAAGACGAAGUCCAAUAUUAUUGAAGUUGUUUUUACACAUACUCGUCCUACAUGGAACUAUGAAUAAGUUGUCUUUCUUCCUUGUAUUGUGUAAGUGUACUGCUGAAUUAGUAAUGAAAACAUUCAAGUUGGAUUUCAUGUAAACUAAUAUUUCAUAUAUAUACAAACAUGGUAGAGGUAAUAUAUGUAACAAUUUAAAAUAUUGUUUGCAGCUGGUGGUUUUUUGUAUUUGCAUUAUAGCUCUAAUAGCUCUCUUUUGUAUCUUAAAGAUCAAUUUUGCAUUCGCUGAAUUGCCCCAGAAUAUCAAUCCAUAUGAUAGCAGGGAUUGAAAAUACGCAUAGUAUAAAGCGAGAACUGUCUCUAAUCCUGAUACUUUUUUGACUAUUCGUAAGCCAAAACAUAUUUUACUUAACUUACUGUAGUUCUGCGAUGUAUACCACAUCACAAGAUGUAAAAACAACCAUAAAUCUCUGUGUGAUUAUAGCAAAGGCUAAAACCCAGAAUCUAUGUAAUGCACAUUGUCCGCUUUUCUGUUAAUAAUAAAAAAAAAAAGUGAAGGUAGUCUGAUCCGGUCUGAUCCAUCUGAUCCUAAGCUAAUCUUACGGAACGGUGACACCGCCGCGUGUGGGAUAACGCCUCGUAGGCCUCGUGUAGUAUGCACAUUGGAUAUGAGUAUAUUGUGAUAGAAUCGGGAAAGACACUGACUAAUAAAAAUUUUUGCGAAGUUUUAUAACCUGUCAGCAACAACUGUGAUCCUUGCCGUCCUUGCGCUGCUUGCGCCUAAGUUGGUUGCCGCCAUUUGGAAAUGUCCGUCGGUGUUAAUCGUGUUAAUGGUGUUACGACUAGUGUGAAGAAUGAUGUAGGUAGAGUAAUUCGUUUGCAUAUUGACAGAACCUUGGAACAGUAAAUAUUGACCUUCCAGAGCGCCAAGUGUUUCAGAGCGAUCUCCGGAUUCCAUAUUCAGUAUUUGAAGAGUAAGAAAAUAAAUCAAGAGAUGAAGAUGACAACAAAGUGACAUUCAACUCACUGAAAUGUCAGUUAAAACAUCUUGUUUGCUCUGGCCCUUUUUAUGAAGAACUGGAGAAUAUGUAUAGCUGUGUUAAUUUUGCCAUGAAUUAUAUGACUCUUGGGUCUACAGUGUGGGCAGGAUGACCAACAUUCACCAUUUGCUGAACUGUUCAGAAGCAGUCCAUUUGUUUCAUGAGUAAGUCCCAGAAGCUGGUGCUCUGAUAAACUAUGGUGAUUGUGUGGACACUAAGUCAUCUCACAUGCAAGAGAAGAAUGAGAAACGUAUUGUCUACUGGGUAGUUCUUGAGUGUGGAACUUGGUCACUUGCUGCAACUGAUUCUUCUUGUGAACCUUGUUCACUUCCCAAUGCACCCCAUCAUGAAGGCCAGUACGGAUUGGACCAUGGGCUGUGGCAGGACAAUUCCUGAUAAUAUCAGAGCAAAGUCUACAUUUCACACCUUGUCCAGCUCUGGGCAGAGCCAGAAGGCAAUAUAUCAUCACCCUCUGAGGAUCCAACAAACACAAAAGAAAGGAAACAGGCCCACGAAUUGGUUCUCCAAAGGAUUACGCUGGUCUGUUGAAGGUGUGGCGUAGCUGCUUUGCCGAAUAUACCUCUUAGUACAGCUAUACAUCGAUCCACUGUGACAUCAUCAGCGACCCUUUCUGUGAUGGCAGCAACCUUGUCUGCCAGUAAUACAAGAAGAAAUGGUGCACAUUACAAGUUCCAGAGCAGUAACCACUGGCCACUGCUUGGUGUUGUGCUGUCAUUUCCAAAUGAUCUUCGUUAUUUAUCUGAUGUUGACCGUGUUCUUUUGUGAAAAUGACAUAUCAAAUGGAAAUAUUUUAUACAAUUCUUGGGUAUUUGAGUAUGGGGCCAGUCAUUGCCAUUUCUCCAACUGCCUCUCGAAUAAGCUAUGAAUGGAAAGUAAUUUUUGAGGGAAACUUCUGGGAAAAGUAAUGGAAGCUGUGGUUAAAGCUUUACCAUCCAUAGCAGUGGUGUUGUGACAGUUGGAAGACAUCUUGAAUUUAACUAAUGGUGAGUAGCGUAUUGUCAUGUGUUAGUGACCAGACAUGUUUGCAUUGAUUAUUGGAUUUACUGAACACUUAAAAUAGUCUCAUUAUUUUACAUGCUUUAGAAACAAAUAUGGCAUGCACUAAAUCUCCGUU